rnacentral:rRNA from 1 species
UACGUAGGGGGCUAGCGUUGUCCGGAUUUAUUGGGCGUAAAGCGCGCGCAGGCGGUCCUUUAAGUCUGAUGUGAAAGCCCACGGCUCAACCGUGGAGGGUCAUUGGAAACUGGGGGACUUGAGUGCAGGAGAGAAGAGUGGAAUUCCACGUGUAGCGGUGAAAUGCGUAGAGAUGUGGAGGAACACCAGUGGCGAAGGCGACU